CAGGUACAGAGGGAUGCUACCGGGCGACCGGAUGCGGAUCUCGAAAGCCUGUCCCAGUUCGGACUGGAGUCUGCAACCCGACUCCACGAAGUUGGAUUCGCUAGUAAUCGCGCAUCAGCCAUGGCGCGGUGAAUACGUUCCCGGGCCUUGUACACACCGCCCGUCAAGCCAUGGGAGCCGGGGGCGCCUGAAGUCCGGGACCGCGAGGACCGGCCUAGGGCGAAACUGGCAACUGGGGCUAAGUCGUAACAAGGUACC
rnacentral:rRNA from 1 species